GCAGCAAAAACUUACACACAUACACACACUUUCUCCCGCACGGUUCUUGGUUCAGUCAACAAAUGGACAUGUGCGCACUAGCAUCAUGAAUGGAAGCGGGUCAAUUGCAACAGUCCAAUGAAGAUUGGAGCAAUUUUUUCCAGAAAUACAGUCACCAAUUUCAUCAAAGAAGUGAACAUGCUUAGUGAGACAGAUAGGUCGUCAUAGAUGAUGAAGCAUCUGGACAAAAGUAGAAGCGUGUGAUGGGAUAAUUGCCAUCCCAGAACGUGGUUUGAGAAAAAAAAUCGAUUUAGUACUUAUAGCGUUCUACUUCACGCUGUUGGGGCAUUCACACAUGAUGUUAAAAUGUAGUCCAAAAAGGCAGACGGUCGAGAUCGUAUAGACGGUUGACCUAAUAAUAAUUCAUACGAUUCAGUCUUACGUAACUACCGGUACCGUAUUGAUCUGUGUACAGUUAUGGUAAAUAGUCGACCGAAAUGUUCGUACAACUCACUUUUAUUCUGAAUGAAAUGGAAUAUAAUAGAAUGUAAGAAAUAUAUUUAUUUGAUGUUAAUUAAAACCUCUUCUCAAAAUUUGUACGUUUACUUUCACCGCAAUAAAUUUUAAAGAGCUUACUUAAUCAUUUAAAGUUUAUUUGUGUGUUAUGACUGAAUUUUUUGGUAGUUAACACAAAUAAAAAAGAAAAAAAAGAAAAGAAAAUGAGCUGAACAAAAGGCACAUCAGCGGCGUCAUUCAUCCCUAAAUUAUUAAAUUUAUUUGUCCCAGUAA